rfam:Triticum aestivum genome assembly, contig: Triticum_aestivum_CS42_TGACv1_scaffold_472257_6AL
CUGUCUGACGAUGAUCAAACUAAAUACUUUCGUUCUUCUGAUGCACUAAGGUGCGAUGUGGAAGCAAUUUGGAGACCUGAACUGAGGAUUA